CGCCUCCUCCUCCACCGCGUGCCUCCACCUCCUCCUCCUCAGCUGCAUCUACAUCUACACCAGCACGUGUUCCAAACCACUCUUUUAAUUUUCGUCCUAAUCGUUCUCAGAAACGUGCGGAACGACAAGGCGAUGGAGUGCAAUCACGAUCCUUUGUUCCCACUCGAGGCCGCAAUACUUCCCAUUAGCUUAAGCCUGAUGCUGAAAAGGGUGAGAAGGCAUGGCCUUUGUACCUCCAUAAUAGGGGCCGCCCCAUUGGUGACUAUGCUGAGAAAUGGGGAAAGUAUGUGGGGGUGGAGAGCCGUGUGUACUGCAAAUAUCCUCUCCAUUUAGAAUGAGGUGAUGAACAUAAUAGGUCAUUUGACGAUUUCUUUAUAACAUGUCAGAAGGAUUAUGAGUUUCUUCCCGUGGAUCCUAAUCAGCCUCUCUCGGAUCAUAUUGUUUAUCGAGGAAUGAAGUCUCAGCUGCGUAAGAGGGUACGAUAUAAUAGGUGUCAGGUAAAACAUGAGUGUUAUGAGGUGUGGAAAAAUACUCCCGAAGCAGAGAGGGAGGCUCUCUGGCGUACUCCGGCAUUUUCUUGGAUUGAUAAAGACUCAUGGGCUACAUUGUGCACAUAUUAUGAUUCAGAGGGCAAGAA